UUUCCGUAGGUGAACCUGCGGAAGGAUCAUUAUCCAUCUUCAACCAGCUGCGGUCGCGGCCCCACGCUUACCCGUGGUGGUGCGCGCCGCACGUCUGCACCCUUUCUUUACGAGUACCUUCGUUCUCCUUCGGCGGGGCAACCUGCCGCUGGAACUUAACAAAACCUUUUUUUUGCAUCUAGCAUUACCUGUUCUGAUACAAACAAUCGUUACAACUUUCAGCAAUGGAUCUCUUGGCUCUGGCAUCGAUGAAGAACGCAGC
rnacentral:misc_RNA from 1 species